UACGUAGGGUGCGAGCGUUAAUCGGAAUUACUGGGCGUAAAGCGUGCGCAGGCGGUUUUGUAAGCCAGAUGUGAAAUCCCCGGGCUUAACCUGGGAAUGGCAUUUGGGACUGCAAGGCUCGAGUGCGGCAGAGGAGACUGGAAUUCCUGGUGUAGCAGUGAAAUGCGUAGAUAUGCGGAGGAACACCGAUGGCGAAGGCAAUCCCCUGACCUGUGACUGACUCUCAUGCA
rnacentral:rRNA from 1 species